rnacentral:rRNA from 1 species
GACGAACCGAGCGAACGUUAUUCGGAAUCACUGGGCUUAAAGGGUGCGUAGGCGGGCUCGUGAGUCAGGGGUGAAAUCCCACGGCCCAACCGUGGAAGUGCCUCUGAUACUGCGGGCCUAGAGGGGGACAGGGGCAUGCGGAACUUCCGGUGGAGCGGUGAAAUGCGUAGAUAUCGGAAGGAACACCGGUGGCGAAAGCGGCGUGCUGGAUCCCUACUGACGCUGAGGCACGAAAGCCAGGGGAGCAAACGGG